CAUGCUCAGUGGUUAACGACUUGUCAAUCGCCAGUCAUCAGCCAGUGAGCGUGUGG
rnacentral:pre_miRNA from 1 species